ensembl:ncRNA lncRNA:CR45319 long non-coding RNA:CR45319
AGAACAUUCGUCGAGACGCUCUAGCUCCAAGCCACAGAGGAGGCAGCCAUGUGAGGAUGUUGGGUGGGUGGAACUGGUAUCCGGAGACGCCUCCAAUCGCGCAACAAAAACAGAACGCUGCACCUGAGUUGGCUGAGGAACUGAGGAGCAGCCAAGGAGCAAGGAUUGUGUGUGGUUCGGCGUAGGCAUCCACGUCUGUCUGUCGCCCAUUUUCAAGUUGCAUAAUUUUGUUUUCCUUUCACAGCGAGCUAGCUCAUUUCUCGCGUCUCCCACAGGCGAACUCCACCAGGCAUACAGCCCGUACAGCCCACCAGUCCAUCCAUCCAGCCACCAACUCCACACCCAUCUGGUGUGCACAUUCUUGGCUGCAUUCAUACUUUUCACACCCUUUAGGAUUAUUUCGUGCAUGGCAUCUCAGGGCUGGCAACUGGAGAGGCUGUGCUCGCUGCUUCCAGGAGGAAAGUCGUGGCCAGGAGCUGCUCCUGUUGCCAUUUGCCCUGAAUGGAACUCGUUUCUGUUCUCAUUUCGCCCAUUCACUGUGCUGUGCACCUGCUUUUUUUUAAAGCAAUUUAAAUUAACAGCAAUGACGACGACCAAGUCCUGCCAGGAGGAGCAGAGGAGAACAGUGAGUGAAUGCGACUCCGUGUGUGUUUGUUUAUGCCCCACGGCAUCCAGAAGGUGGGCAGCUGGGGGUUGGAGGAUUUGUGGUGCUGGGGGAUGUGUGCGUUCCCGACAUGCAAUUGGAAUGCAAUUUGUUAUGGGAAGUUAAGUCUCCACUUGUCAGUUAAGUUUACGCUUGGCUGUUUGCCCGUUGUCGUCGUCCUCGCAGGUUGCCAUGCAGUUAUGGUCCCGGAUCAUGGCACUUGGCCUCCUGCUGCUCCUGCUGCUCCUGCUCCUCUCCUGCUGCUCCUUCUACUCCAUUUUGCCCACCCUGUCUGCGACCGUCCUUGUUGGGCAGUUAAAAAAUAAUUAAACUCUUUAAAUAUUUAAAUUAAUUUGUGCUGUGCCAUGCAGUUGUGCACAAGAAAAAUAAACCGAAAUUCCGCACUUAAUUGGCAAGGACAGAGCUGCUGCUGACGGGGCGAAUGAGUGAUAUUUGUGUUUUUUGGGAGGGGAUAAUUCGCAGACUUGCCACUAGAAACGUAGUCUAACCAAGCAUUCAUUUAACAUUUAAUGAAAAAAGUAGCAAACACAAUUAAAUUCAAAUAUUUGUCAAAAAUUUUAUGAAUUUAUGAAAAGUCAAAAGACGCAAAGCACAGUUAUGUAUAAAAAAUGAAUUGUUAUAAGCGAUUGUGGAAAAUAAUCUUCAGGCAAUUUAGCUUUUAAAAAGCUAACUCCCCAAAAUAUUUUGCCACCGGAUCAAGGAAUAUUGAUCCUGAACAAAAAGAAUAAAAUAUAUAUUUUUAUAUGGUCGGAAACGCUUCCUUCUGCCUGUUACAUACUUUUCAAUGAAUCUAGUAUGCCCUUUUACUAUCCAUAUAACGGGCAUAAUUACCAUCAAUAAAAAUAACGCCUAGACAAAAUAAUCUCCGGAUAAAUAAACCUCCAGAUAAAAUAGCCCCCAUUUUAAACAAGUCCUGGAAAAAUUAUCCCAAAUAAAGAACACACAGAUAAGUGAUUAUGUCGUCACCGCCUUCUUUCAAUUAUUAUAAAUUAUUAUACAUUUUCUGAUAGUUCCUAUAGCAGCUAUAUGGCAUAUAACAUAGGUAUACCGAUUGUUUCUUAUUUAUACGUAUACGUAAUAUAAGUUUCAGAUACGUUUAAAACAUUUUGUAAACUGAUUGUCAUCUGAUUUUUUUUCUUUUACUGUACCCAACUAUAAAAACAAGGGCCGACUAACAAGCCAAGCAAACACCACCAAAACAAUGUCCAGAAUCAUCCAAACGCAGAGCACGCAACUUUUGACUACUGGCGCCACUUUGGAUGCCCCGCCCAUCCGCCGCCCCCCCCACCUUCCUGGCAGUUGGGGCUUUAUAGGCGUUUACUUUGACAUAUCGCCGUUGACUUAACCAAGCCGCCCGGCCAACUAAUCGAGCUGAAGGCUUAACAACUUCGGAUACUUUCGUACUGAAAGUACAUACUGCGAACUGUGGGAGGAGCGCCUGAAAUUAUGCUACAUCCACACAAGCGGGCUGGAAAUGGACUCGGAAAAUCAGACGAUUUACAUGCAGGCAAAAUGUUGAUUAGAAAAUUAAUUAAGGCUUUUACGAUGGCACCGAGCUCGAAGCUCGGAGCUCUGAGCCCGGUUCUCCACUGGAAAACUUUCGCUUCGGCGAAUUUACGACAUUUUUAUGACGGCCUGCCAUGCGAAAGCGAGGUUUUCGGGGUUUCUCUGGGUGGGUUGCCUCGUAAAAAGUGCGUAAAAAGUUUCUGUCAGUGGCAGGAGCUCCUUUUUCCAGCUCCAGCUGAUAAGGCAGCCAGCCAUCAGAAUAUUCAAUGCUCCUCCAGCUCCCUUUUUUUCCCGGAACGCUUAUGCAGAUGGGCUCCGGCCGUGGAGUUACUGGCACAUUUCGUCCAAUAAAUAAAUUGUGCGCCCAAUGUGUGAAGCCUUUCAGUCGCUGGCUCCUUGUGCUCCUUGUGGGCGUCAACAUGCCCACAAUUUAUUAUUUGGGUGAUUUCGAAGGUGAAUGAACCCGAACAGGCAAACAAAUGUAUGCACGAAAGCCUGCCAAAAAAUUGAAUUCUAAAAUACAAAGAACUAAAACCUUACAAGAGAAAUGGUACCUGAGCAAAGUUUUUAAUCAAAGCAGAAAUCUAAGUACUAGGUGGUUUUGUAUUUAUAUAACUAAAGUCUCAAUAUAAUUGAGAUUGUAUUGAUCCUUAUGCAUAUUACUACAAACUUUUACUUUGAAGUGCUAGAGAUAGAUUUUAUUUUUCUGUGCAUAUUUAGCUUUAGCUUCGAAGCUCGAUUGGUGCCAUCCAGGAUCUACCCAGUUAUACAGAUCCCUGCCAGCAACGCCGGAACCCAGGAGCUCGAGUUCUAGCACCAGCACAACCAACCCCCAUUGAGUGCAGCAAACGACGAGGGGAGGAUUUCUCGGCUUGGGCGACUGCACAAUGGCAAAGAACUUGACGAAAUCAUUACUUCGCCCCGACAUUUAUUGAUGCCAUAAAGUUGAAGAUUUAUGCGUUGUGGCAGUCGCACAAAACAGCCAAAAAGCACCCGCCCAGGAGCAUUGCACCCGGUCCGGGGGGAAACCGCACGGGGCGAACGGAGUGCGGGGAAACCACCCGGCGAGGACAUCGAUACCCAGUUGCCCUCGAAUAAGGAAUAGCCCGCUUGCUACGUGGCCAUGUCAAAUGCUGGCUAUUUUGGCAUAUUGCAGCACAGUGGGGCACAGAGGAAUAACCCAUUUGUCCUGCGGAUUUGAUCGGAAGGGACACCCUCUCCUUAUCUUCACCAUUCAGAUACACACUCACCCACACACACAUACGCACACAACAAAAGCGUGUUAAUUUAUUUAAAUUGACUACGUGCAAAGUUUACUGGCGUCUUGGGCCCCAACUCCACCACCUUUGAAGGAGUUUUGU